UACGGAGGGUGCGAGCGUUGUCCGGAAUCACUGGGCGUAAAGGGCGCGUAGGCGGCGCGGAUAGUCGGCGGUGAAAGCCCGGAGCUCAACUCCGGGUCGGCCGUCGAUACUUCCGGGCUUGAGCACUGUUGAGGCAGAUGGAAUUCCGGGUGUAGCGGUGGAAUGCGUAGAGAUCCGGAAGAACACCGGUGGCGAAGGCGGUCUGCUGGGCAGUUGCUGACGCUGAUGCGCGACAGCGUGGGGAGCAAACAGG
rnacentral:rRNA from 1 species